UACGUAGGUGGCGAGCGUUGUCCGGAUUUACUGGGCGUAAAGGGCUUGUAGGCGGUUCGUUAAGUCUGGUGUGAAAUCUCCCGGCUCAACUGGGAGGGGUCACUGGAUACUGGCGGACUAGAGGGGGGUAGAGGAGAGCAGAAUUCCUGGUGUAGCGGUGAAAUGCGUAGAUAUCAGGAGGAAUACCAGUGGCGAAGGCGGCUCUCUGGGCCUACCCUGACGCUGAGGGAGCGAAAGGCAGUGGGGAGCAAACCACGG
rnacentral:rRNA from 1 species